rnacentral:tRNA from 1 species
GGUGUGUUGGCUCUGUCAGUAGAGCGUCCGCCUCACAACCGGGAGGUCGUGGGUUCGAACCGCAUCAUACCA